CCUACGGGGGGCAGCAGUGAGGAAUAUUGCGCAAUGGGGGCAACCCUGACGCAGCGACGCCGCGUGAGUGAAGAAGGCCUUCGGGUUGUAAAGCUCUGUCGGAAGGGAAGAACGGUUCAGGUGUUAAUACCAUCUGGAUUUGACGGUACCUUCAAAGGAAGCACCGGCUAACUCCGUGCCAGCAGCCGCGGUAAUACGGGGGGUGCGAGCGUUAAUCGGAAUUACGGGGCGUAAAGGGCGCGUAGGCGGCCCUGGAAGUCAGUUGGGAAAGCCCACGGCUCAACCGUGGGUGUGCAAGUGAAAAAGGAGGGCGUGAGUAACGGCGGGGAGGAGGGAAUUCACGAUGUGGAGGGGAAAUUCGUAGAUAUCGGGAGGAAUACCAGUGGCGAAGGGGGUCAUCUGGAAGGAUACAGAAGGUGAGGCGGGAAAGCGUGGGGAGCAAAAAGGAUUCGAGAACCCAGUAGUC
rnacentral:rRNA from 1 species